rnacentral:rRNA from 1 species
UACAGAGGGUGCGAGCGUUAAUCGGAAUUACUGGGCGUAAAGCGUGCGCAGACGGUCAUGUAAGUCGGGUGUGAAAGCCCCGGGCUCAACCUGGGAAUUGCAUUCGAGACUGCAUGGCUAGGGUGCGGAAGAGGGAAGCGGAAUUUCCGGUGUAGCGGUGAAAUGCGUAGAUAUCGGAAGGAACACCAGUGGCGAAAGCGGCUUCCUGGUCCAGCACAGACGUUCAGGCACGAAAGCGUGGGGAGCAAACAGG